CCGACCUUAGCUCAGUUGGAAGAGCACAAGACUGUAACUGGAUAUCUAUCUUGGGGUCGCCUGUUCGAACCAGGCAGGUCGGA